GACGGAGGAUGCAAGCGUUAUCCGGAAUGAUUGGGCGUAAAGCGUCCGCAGGUGGCAGUUCAAGUCUGCUGUCAAAGACCGGGGCUUAACUUCGGAAAGGCAGUGGAAACUGAACAGCUAGAGUAUGGUAGGGGCAGAGGGAAUUCCUGGUGUAGCGGUGAAAUGCGCAGAUAUCGGGAGGAACACCGAUGGCGAAGGCAGGUCACUGGGCUGAUACUGACGCUGAGGCGCGAAAGCUAGGGGAGCGAACGGG
rnacentral:rRNA from 1 species